UACAUACUCCCUCCGUUCGGAAUUACUCGUCCAAGAAAUGAAUGUAUCUAGAUGUAUUUUAGUUGUAGAUACAUCCAUUUUUGUGACAAGUAAUUCCGAAUGGAGGGAGUACUAC
rnacentral:pre_miRNA from 1 species